rnacentral:rRNA from 1 species
CCUACGGGUGGCAGCAGUGAGGAAUAUUGGUCAAUGGACGAGAGUCUGAACCAGCCAAGUAGCGUGAAGGAUGACGGCCCUAUGGGUUGUAAACUUCUUUUAUAUGGGAAUAAAAUGUUCCACGUGUGGGAGUUUGUAUGUACCAUAUGAAUAAGGAUCGGCUAACUCCGUGCCAGCAUGAGCGGUAAUACGGAGGAUCCGAGCGUUUCCCGGAUUUAUUGGGUUGAAAGGGAGCGUAGAUGGCUUGUUAAGUAAGUUGUGAAAGUUUGCGGCUCAACCGUAAAAUUGCAGUGGAAACUGGCAGUCUUGAGUACAGUAGAGGUGGGCGGAAUUCGUGGUGUAGCGGUGUAAUGCUUAGAUAUCACGCAGAACUCCGAUUGCGAAGGCAGCUCACUGGACUGCAACUGACACUGAGGCUCGAAAGUGUGGGUAUCAAACAGGAUUAGAUACCCCUGUAGUC